rnacentral:rRNA from 1 species
UAAGACGAAGGUGGCAAGCGUUGCUCGGAAUCACUGGGCAUAAAGCGCGCGUAGGUGGCUCGAUAAGUCAAUGGUGAAAUCCCAUGGCUCACCCAUGGAACUGCCGUCGAUACUGUCGGGCUUGAGGACGGUAGGGGAGAGUGGAACUCCUGGUGUAGCGGUGAAAUGCGUAGAUAUCAGGAGGAACGCCGGUGGCGAAAGCGACUCUCUGGGCCGCUCCUGACACUGAUGCGCGAAAGCUAGGGGAGCAAACAGGAUUAGAUACCCUGGUAGUCCUAGCUGUAAACGAUGGGCACUAGGUAGAGGUGGUUUCGAUGCCUCCUCUGCCGGAGCAAAUGUGUUAAGUGCCCCGCCUGGGGAGUAUGGUCGCAAGGCUA